rnacentral:misc_RNA from 1 species
CUAAGGAAUAUUACGGAAAUCCCACACAUUCGUUUUUACUUUGUUCAGUUUUGAGAGGUCUAACUCUCAAAACGAUUCAUCUCUAUUCAUUAGAGGUCAAUCACAUUUUGUUCUUUGAAAACUGGAUACUGUUUAAAAAGUAAUUAAAGUAAGAAACCGAGAAAACACCGCGUUUUAAAUGAGUUUUUUAAUUAGUUCUUAUCGUAAGAUAAUGAAUAAAAUUAUUGACUAACAUCAUGAGAUUCCUUCGGGAAUACCAUCGAUAGAAAUUUAGUUGUAGUGGUUUCUAAUUCGAGGACAUGAAGGGUUUGAGAAGCAGAGCGUACUAGCGUACGUGAGCAUCGCAGAACACGAAACGGACGAAGAAGUAGGAAGCAAUACAGAUAAAUUA